rnacentral:tRNA from 1 species
GGCUUCGUAGCUCAGGUGGUAGAGCGUUUACCGCGUUGAGGCAUGCUGUGUCAGUCGCUGGUUCGAAUCCAGCCGAAGCCC